UAGAAAAUGUUCUUAAACCAAUCCUCUGCA
rnacentral:piRNA from 1 species